rnacentral:rRNA from 1 species
GAUGAACGCUGGCGGCGUGCCUAAUACAUGCAAGUCGAGCGAACGGACGAGAAUCUUUCUUCUCUGAUGUUAGCGGCGGACGGGUGAGUAACACGUGGAUAACCUACCUAUAAGACUGGGAUAACUUCGGGAAACCGUAGCUAAUACCGGAUAAUAUUUUGAACCGCAUGGUUCAAAAGUGAAAGACGUUCUUGCUGUCACUUAUAGAUGGAUCCUCGCUGCAUUAGCUAGUUGGUAAGGUAACGGCUUACCAAGGCAACGAUGCAUAACUGACCUGAGAGGAGGAACAGGCAAACUGGAAAUGAGACAAGGUCCAGACUCCCACGGGGGGCAGCAGUGGGGAAUACUGGACAAAGGGCGAAAGCCCGGACCAGGCAUGCCGGGGGGGGGAAGAAGGUCUUCGGAUUGUAAAGCACUUUUAGUUGGGGAGAAAGGCAGUAAGUUAAAACUGUGCUGUUUUGACGGUACCAAAAGAAUAAGCACCGGCUAACUUCGUGC